AAAACCGAAAGCCCAAAGCCCGUGCAUGGGCGAAAAACUGCUGCUUGCACCAGCAACCGGCAGCGCCAUUAAAGAAAAAAAGAAACGCCACCAUGACCGGAGAUUGAAGAAUCAGAGGGUCGCCACUCCCGGCUCUUUGACCUCGUACGACCUGUAAGUCCAUAUCUUUCUCGUCCCCCACCCGGCAGUAGAACUUUCAUUUUUCUUUUUUUUUCCCCCUUCUUUUGAAGGCAAAAAAAUUAGGGCUUUCUUGGUUUUCUUUUUUUCUUUAACUUAGGGCUUUUGGUUCUAUAUUUUGUAUAGGCUCUGUUGCUGCUGCUGCUGUUGCUGUGAUUUGUUGCUGAGGCUGGUCCAGAUUCUCAAGGGCUUGCUGUUGCUGGUUUGCUGUUGCUGCUCCUGCGGUGUCUCUGUUGCUGAGUCGCAGUCGAGUUGAUGUCAGAUCCUAUGUUUUCCUGAACGUUUGCUCCAGUUUGAAUGUUUCUGGGAAAGCUAGCAGGUGAACCUCAAUCCUAAUUUCUGGUUGAUGGUCCCGGGAGUUGUGGAUCAUGAUCUCUGGGAGUUUGUUUUGGAAGCUUGCUGUUGCAUUCAUGAUGGAUCAGAAUUCUAUGUCUUCUGUAGCAUUUUUCUGUAUUCACUCUUUAUAGAUUUGCUGUUGCAUUCAUGAUGGAUUCGAUGUGAGCAUCUGUGUGGAGUGAGGGUAAAGCCGGAGAGAUUAUUGUA
rnacentral:lncRNA from 1 species